rnacentral:rRNA from 1 species
CCUACGGGAGGCAGCAGUAGGGAAUAUUGGGCAAUGGAGGCAACUCUGACCCAGCCAUGCCGCGUGCAGGAUGAAGGCGUUAUGCGUUGUAAACUGCUUUUAUAUAGGAAGAAAUAGACCUUGCGAGGUAAGUUGACGGUACUAUAUGAAUAAGCACCGGCUAACUCCGUGCCAGCAGCCGCGGUAAUACGGAGGGUGCAAGCGUUGUCCGGAUUUAUUGGGUUUAAAGGGUGCGUAGGCGGUUUAUUAAGUCAGUGGUGAAAGACGGUCGCUCAACGAUUGCAGUGCCAUUGAUACUGGUAGACUUGAGUAUGAUUGAGGUAGCUGGAAUGGAUAGUGUAGCGGUGAAAUGCAUAGAUAUUAUCCAGAACACCAAUUGCGUAGGCAAGUUACUAAGUCAUAACUGACGCUGAUGCACGAAAGUGUGGGUAUCAAACAGGAUUAGGAUACCCUGGUAGUCCACACUGUAAACGAUGAUAACUAACUGUUGGCUUUCGGGUCAGUGGUACAGAGAAAUCGUUAAGUUAUCCACCUGGGGAGUACGCCGGCAACGGUGAAACUCAAAGGAUUGACGCUGAGACAGCGAGAGACGACGAGGGAGAGG